ensembl:lncRNA
CCCACACAGGAGACAGAGGAAUCGACCCCGAGCUCCCAAACUCAGGGGUUUAUAUAGGGGAGUGCAGGGCUAUCUGAGAGGUGCCUGGUCCCAUGCUACACGGAAGUGAGACAUCCAGGUGACCACUGUGCUGACAAAGCUGGGAUCACAUUGCCAGUCCACCACUGGGAUCUACUCAGUAGUCACGAGAUUCCCCGAAGCUGGGCCUGCUGGGCUCUGUCAGCGUCCAGCAUCCAUCUACGAGCACCCAGGUGUCUCUGCAUCAUCGCCCUGUGAUGCUUCUAAGUCUCACCCACCAGGAUGCUCCUGCAGCAAGGAGGUCAGGCCUUCCAAAGGGC